AGCUGUAACACGGUAUCUCGCGACUCUGCAGCUGGUUUCCCUGCGUCACGCGUCCUUCGCGAUCGCGUGUCUCGUCGAACGUCUCGAGACCGCCAACGUUUUUCCACGAUACCGUCGCUAUCGGCGUUUGAACAUCGGUUCGAAGGGAGGACAGCAGGAAACGCCCCUCGGCGAGCCGCGUUCCCAUUGGCCGAUGGAACAGCUGCGACGAUAAAUAACGAACGAGUCCACGAUAUUGUUUAUCAGCGAGUUAAAUAUUUCAGGAGGUCCCGAUUGCUUCGACUCGUUCAAUCGAGCUACUUCCCCCGCUCGACCAGUUUAUCCAGCCGAGAUAAUGCCGCGAGCUAGUCUGGCGCAGCGGUUUCUUCAUUCAAAUUCUUUCGAGUGUAACAUACUUGCAGACCGAUACGAAACAACGCCGGCUAAAUAGCCAGGCAGUGCCAGCGGAUACCCCGCGACACGAUUCUAUUUACCACUCGGCGUAUUUAUAGCGCCCGAACGUACCCGAAGAGAUCGGGAGAGCUGUAUUGCUGGCCGGUGUUUAUCGAGAUUGUUCAUCCGGCUGACCGUUCGUCUUGGAAACAAUCGGCGAAAUUUUUGCGAAGACGCGAACACCGAUCCGAAGAUGACGGAUGUUCGAACGCUAACGGCACACUUUUGAUUCGAAGUGCUGCGAGGGGGUACCAGAACAUCGGAAGUCGACGUUUUUGGUCUCGUUCGACGGCGAAGAGAUCGUGACACGAGAUUGCAUCGGUUUUGUUGACGAAAUCAAUUUUUUGGACUCGUCAGGGAUUUGCAAAGUUGAAGAAUCGCCCGGAAAUGAGCACUGGGAGUCAUGGCGCCGCUUCGCAGAAGGUUCUCCUUGUUCUCUGCCAGCGUGUCCGCGGUGUCGUCGGCUCCUUCUUGCAGGAGGUUGGCCUGCAGGGCUAGUUUCCUAACGGCGAGACAGUAGCCGAGAAUCGGAGCCGCCAGCAGGUCGAUACAGGCGGCCACCCAGGGCAUAACCGACGUGGAUCGUGCCGCAGAAAUGUCCCUCGAUCGCUGGACGUUCGCUCGAAGAAGAUCGUGGCCGCCGCGACCGUGCACGCGGUUAACAAUAACGGGAGGAAUGAAAUGUAAACAACAGCUGUCCCCUGAAUCGGAACCCGGCGAGCUGGAGCCCUCUAAUUAAACGAGACACACGGUGAAGCUCGUGUUUAAUCCUAUCGCUAUACCGCCACCAAGUUUCUCCCGGCCUUCGAAUCUUCGGGCUAAAGUUCUUCCGAGAAAUGGUCGCUGCUCGUGUGCCGUAUUAUCGACAACAGGUCCUCCCUCAUUCCAAUUUGCUUGAUCCUCACUUCCGGAGCCAGUUUGCGGGCUUCUGUGUCUUUUGUUCUCAGUUCUAUCGGCCUUUCGCCUGUCCUCCUCGACUCCUCGCCCGUUUCCACCCUGCUAGCUCUAUACCGUGUCUGUCCGCUCAGUGCGCAACACCUGCGACUACUCGACCUCGACGAUCGUUCGCAGUCAACUGAGCCUCUAAUCGGACCUCGAUCCUAUACUAGUUGCCAGCGUUUCUUGAUACGGGUCGCUUCGGACCUGCGCACGCGCUGCCCACAGCUGCUUUUGCUGGUAGUUUACAUAGUCACGGUGCUGCUUCACCGACACACGUCUUACGAGCCCGGCGCUCCCUUCUCGUCUCUGCCACCUUGGCUGCUUCUACUCGGAUCUUCCCUGUCGCGCCUUCGAUCGCUCGUUGUUUACCUGGCCAGUUGGGCGCCGAACGGGAAGCUCGGUGCCUCUUUCGCUGUUUCGGUAGGUCAGCUCAAGCGGUGAACCGGUUUCGAGGAUCGACGAGACCUGGGCCAGACGCUUCUGCGUUCGUGCGACGCUCUCUCUCUCUCUCUCUCUCUCUCAGUCUCUCCCUGUCUCUCUCUCUCUCUCGGUCUCUACCUCUUCUGCUAUCUUUCUCGCUUGUUUUCUUUGGGCAACGCGAUCGAUGCCAGCCAGCUGGGACGUACCUUGCACAGGUGAACACGCGCUACUCAGUCUGGAAAUCGUCGGAUACUCGUGCGUAACGUGAAAAGUUGUCUCUGCUCGUGCUUCGAGGAGGUUCCAGCGACUGAUGGUCCCUCAUCCGCAGCAGCUUUUAGCAACAUCGACCCGACUCUGGGUAGGCGCCCUCUGUUCAAGCCAGCCAAUCGUGCCACGCGCAGCCCCUCCAUCCUUUCCCGGCAAUCGCGUUGAAAACACGUCGAACGAUCUCUCACUUUUGCCGACAAACCGUUGUUGACUUUCCUACCAACGACCGGGCCAACCCGAUCGUCACGGUUUCUGUUUCUCUUUUUUAUGGGGGGGAGGGAGGGGGGGACUGCCGCGAGCCCGCGAGAAAAAUCCUGAGAUCCGCAGCUACGUUUUGGCUGACUCUGAAUAGACCACGCGACCCUCCGAAUUUAGAACCUCGCUGUAUUAGCGCGUGUAUUCGACGCCUCGAACGAUUCCGAUGCGUCGAUUGAAAAUCGACGGUCGACGGUAGUCGCGCGAAAUAUCGAUUGUUUCGCGACCAGGACCGGCACCGUCGAGUCCUUAAUUGAGCCCGCGGAACUCCAGAACGUUCCUAUGUACGGUAGUGUGCCGAGACAUUGUACAGGGUGAUCCGGAAGUAACGAAACUGCGGCCGGAGACGCGUUUCGGAGCAAAACGGAGCGGAUGUUGCUGUUAGGAAGGUUCGAUUAAUUCGAUUCGCAUUUGGGAAGCUCGGGAAAUCAUACUGUUCUACGUCAUGGUUAUUUGUGAUAUAAUGAUUUUCAUAAGAAUUACUUGAGUACGAGGAUCGUGGCCGAUUCCAAAUAAAAGGCGCGAGAAAGCGUGCCAAUCUAAUCUUAAGUAAACGCUCCAUUUUAUUCUUAGAUAGUGUGUGUAAUAAAACCUGGAAAAUUAUGGUUUGAAUACAAAAUAAAGUAGUGACGAACCUGUUUCUGGAAUUCAUUUUGUUGAUGCCGAUAUUAAAGAAUAUAGCUCAAUAUUAGGACAUAAUGAUUUUCACGAAAACCACUCGAAUAUUUGAGUUACUGUUUUAUAUUAGUUUAUAAAAGUAACAAUAAGACAUUUAUUCUGAUUUUUAACAAAUGUUAUUGUAACAUUUGCCGUAAAUAAAACCAUAUAAAUGAAUUGUAAAAACAAAACCAUAUAAAUUGAAUAAAUAUCUCAUAAAUGUA